rnacentral:lncRNA from 1 species
UCGAUUUUAGUUCAUAUUUUUACAACGAAUCUUUCAUGAUAGGUGUACUUCCUUGGAAGAAAUAUGCUGCAUGCGCACAGAAUCAAAGAGUUGCUAAAAUUGGAGGUAGAAAGAACAUUAAACACGCUCUACUGAAGCCUAUGGAAAUCGGACGCAUUUAAGCGCAUUCAACUCAAGUACAUGAAACCAAAUACAGGAAUCUAAUUCAAAUCAGCUCGAUUUCCCAUAUAAACGGCAAAAAUAAUCCUGCCUGCAAACGUGUCCUAAAGAUAGUCCCAAUUUGCAUAUGCUCCUCAUUUCAUUUGCUCCUACCUGAAUUUCUGGGACUGCAAUUGGCAAGAUCCAAGAUGCCGGUCACAUGAUCCAAACUGGAGUAAAACAUGGACACACCUUAGGCCCGUAGCUCAGGUCUUCGUCAAUGACAAUUCGAAGGCCUCUUGUUUAGUUGCUUGGCACGGGCAUCAAAUACGUUUCAAACUGCUAAUAAGUUAAUACAGUCUUCGUUCAGUGCUUAUCCAGUAUACUGUGCAGCUGAAGUGGACCUGUCAGCAAGUAAAGCCAAGAGGCCAAUAGGGAAUAAUUAACACCUUACUGUAAAUGACAGUUGAUACUAAUGUAAUGCCAUAACUUCUAUAGGAUCACUAAGGGUGAAACCUCAUAAUAAAAAGGAUAAUGUAGAAAUAUACUAGUACUAGGCAGGAGGCCAAUGUGUAUCACACCCAUGAAAACUGUUCGAAUAUUUUUGGCAGCACACCUCAAGAGCCAAGAGUUGGUAAGGUUCACAUACAGAUGGUUCAUUUCAAUGCCAAUAUGAACCCAGCUCAUACGACUCAAAAAUGUCGAACCCUUGCCUGGUUCUAUCAACAAGGGAAUAAGUAUUAAUAUUUUGACAAGGCUGUGAGACAAGGAUGACCAGCUCGAUCUCUUAGACUUCGAAUUUACACCCUAAAAAAUUUUCAAGCUAAAAUGUGAUACUCUUCAAAGUUUCAAAACAGGAGAAAUAUCUCUACAAUUCUCGACUAAAAGAAAGCAACUUACAGUGUGUUGUCCAAGUGAAUGGGCUAGUUGAUGCCUUGGGGUUCGGUCUUCCACUUGACAUAGUAUCCACUUGCAUAGUCGCAUUAGUAGCCAAU